rnacentral:rRNA from 1 species
UACAGAGGUCUCAAGCGUUGUUCGGAUUCAUUGGGCGUAAAGGGUGCGUAGGUGGCGCGGUAAGUCGGGUGUGAAAUUUCGGAGCUUAACUCCGAAACUGCAUUCGAUACUGCCGUGCUUGAGGACUGGAGAGGAGACUGGAAUUCACGGUGUAGCAGUGAAAUGCGUAGAGAUCGUAAGGAAGACCAGUGGCGAAGGCGGGUCUCUGGACAGUUCCUGACACUGAGGCACGAAGGCCAGGGGAGCAAACGGG